rnacentral:rRNA from 1 species
AGAGUUUGAUCAUGGCUCAGAAUCAACGCUGGCGGCGUGCCUCAGACAUGCAAGUCGAACGAUUAAAGCUCUCUUCGGAGAGUGUAUAGAGUGGCGCACGGGUGAGUAACACGUAAGUAAUCUACCCUCGAGUGGGGAAUAACGUCCGGAAACGGACGCUAAUACCGCAUAAUGCAGCGGCACCGCAAGGUGACAGUUGUUAAAGAUUUAUCGCUUGAGGAGGAGCUUGCGGCAGAUUAGCUAGUUGGUAAGGUAAUGGCUUACCAAGGCUACGAUCUGUAACCGGUCUAAGAGGACGGUCGGUCACACUGACACUGAAUAACGGGUCAGACUCCUACGGGAGGCAGCAGUCGGGAAUUUUGGGCAAUGGGCGAAAGCCUGACCCAGCAACGCCGCGUGAAGGAUGAAGUAUUUCGGUAUGUAAACUUCGAAAGAAUGGGAAGAAUAAAUGACGGUACCAUUUAUAAGGUCCGGCUAACUACGUGCCAGCCGCCGCAU